GGAAAGGAGAAAGCAAUCUGUUUGUUUGUUUUUAGCUUGUCUUUAUUUUUCACCAUUCAACUCUAUUUUUAACACCCAAGAGAGACCUCUUACCCAGCAUCUGAUCUUUACAGCGAGAUCUGACACUAGAAGACCUCCAUUAUCUGAACAUUUUGAUUUCAUUCACAGAAAUAACUUUUGGCAGAGAGUAAUGAAGAGUCCCUUAAAUGAAAAAGUGUAAGAAGCCAUGCUUAGUAACCUCCAGAUGUAAAAGAAUGACCUAAAAAAAGAAGAUUAAGGAUAUUAACCAAUAGUCAUUAUCCACUGAGAAUUCACAGCUGGAAAUGUGUAUUGUCAUUUAUGCACUAUGCUGCUGUGCAACAAACCCAAUGAGUUCUCAUACGGCCGAGCUUAAAUCAUGAGUCUGUUUUGCCUUAACAUUUAGUGACAGGUUCAUGAUUUUAUAAGAUCAUUACCAAAUCAGUGCAGGGAAAUGCAGUUCUAAUAUAUCUGUGCAUUACAUCCAUGCAUUAAUCUGAAACAUUUUGCACAAUAAAUUUUCAAACUGGAUUAUGUUUUAUAUAGAC
rnacentral:lncRNA from 1 species